AAAAACUAAAACCUAUUGAAAACCCAAAUCCACCUUUUUAAAACCCCUUUUCCUUUUAACAAUCACCCCUUUGAUUUUUUUUUAAAAGAACUUAAGAAUUUUUUGAAAUGUUCUCUCAACUCAUGCACUCAUUUUCUCCUCUUCAUCAGACACCACCUCCGUCAAAGGUCCCAUGUGCGAUGGCCACCGACGACAUGAGCACAACUCCGGUAUAAUGGACGUGGGGCGUGGGUCGUACUUCACGCUAGUUGGCCGGACAUGCGAGGUGGAGUGCGUGGUGGUGGAGAACGUGGGUAGUGGAAGCAUGGAGGCAGUUGGAGGCUAGGGUCUUGGCUGAAAAUGUUUUAGGGUUUGUGGGUUAGGGUUAAGUAUUUAGGCUUCAAAAUUGGGUCUAUUUUUGGUCUUUGGGGUUUGUUUUUGGUUUAAAAAUUUGGGCUUUAAUGGUAAAUGGGCCCGGGCAAAAAUUGGUACCCACAGUCAUUAUACCUUAGUUAACUAUCAAUUCAAUAAAAUUAAAGGACUAAACCUUAAUAUAUUUUAA